rnacentral:rRNA from 1 species
AGCUAACGCGUUAAGUAUCCCGCCUGGGGAGUACGGUCGCAAGAUUAAAACUCAAAGGAAUAGACGGGGACCCACACAAGCGGUGGAACAUGUGGUUCAAUUCGACAAUAAACGGGGAACCUCACCAAGGUUUGACAUCCCGGGAAUCCCGACGAAAGUCGGGAGUGCCGUAAGGAACCCGGUGACAGGUGCUGCAUGGUCGUCGUCAGCUCGUGCCUUGAGGUGUUCGGUUAAGUCCGUAAACGAGCGCAACCCUUAUCCUGUGUUGCUUUUCACAGGAGACUGCCGGCUCCAAGUCGGAGGAAGGUAAGGAUGACGUCAGAUCAGCAUGGCCUUUAUGCCUUGGGCUACACACGUGUUACAAUGGCCGGUACAAUGGGCAGCCAACCCGCAAGGGGGAGCCAAUCCCAUCAAAGCCGGUCCCAGUUCGGAUUGGGGGCUGCAACUCGCCCCCAUGAAGCCGGAAUCGCUAGUAAACGCGAAUCAGCCAUGUCGCGUUGAAUAUGUUCCUGGGUCUUGUACUCACCGCCCGUCACAUCAUGAAAGGUGAAGGUACCCGAAGUCGCCUCAGCCCCUCGGGGCGGGUGCCUAAGGUAAAUUCACUGAUUGGGAUGAAGUCGUAACAAGGUAUCCGUAGGAGAACCUGCGGAUGGAAUACCUCCUUU